rnacentral:rRNA from 1 species
AGGACGAACGCUGGCGGCGUGCUUAACACAUGCAAGUCGAGCGGUAAGGCCUCCUUCGGGGGGUACACGAGCGGCGAACGGGUGAGUAACACGUGGGUGACCUGCCCUCAGCUCUGGGAUAAGCCUGGGAAACCGGGUCUAAUACCGGAUAGGACUGCUUGCCGCAUGGUGGGUGGUGGAAAGUUUUUUCGGCUGGGGAUGGGCCCGCGGCCUAUCAGCGUUGUUGGUGGGUGAUGGCCUACCAAGGCGGUGACGGGUA